rnacentral:rRNA from 1 species
UACGUAGGGGGCAAGCGUUGUCCGGAAUCAUUGGGCGUAAAGCGCGUGUAGGCGGUCCGGUAAGUCCGCUGUGAAAGUCCAGGGCUCAACCCUGGGAUGCCGGUGGAUACUGUCGGGCUAGAGUGCGGUAGGGGAGACUGGAAUUCCUGGUGUAGCGGUGAAAUGCGCAGAUAUCAGGAGGAACACCGGUGGCGAAGGCGGGUCUCUGGGCAGUAACUGACGAUGAGGAGCGAAAGCGUGGGGAGCGAACAGG